ACAUAUACUUAACUUUGUCUCCUGGAUUCAAAGCGUGGCUCUCAGUCUGCCCAGCAUACUUCCAAGUCAAUGACAUACUCACUCUGAGCCUUUGUACACUGGGCACAAGACUGACCUCACAAGGUAGUAGGGACUCAGCUGAUGACAUAGGCAUUGUACACAGCAAGCCUAGCAAAGGUCAGCAAAAUGAUGGCACUCAGUAUUGCAAAAGGUCCCGAGACAGGCUCCAGAAGGGGUGAGAAACCUGGGCACAGAAGCUAAGCACCUCUCAUCCGGGGCACAGAAGCUAAGCACUCUCAUCCGGGGCACAGUACUAGCCACCCCUCAUUCUACACGAACCAGGAGUGCAGGAGCAGGAAAGGUACAAGAGCAAGCUAACUCUCCUGAACCUCCGACUCCCACCUACGUGCUCAUCCUCCCGCCAGCCACAGCGCCAAACCCAUCCAAGAAAAGCUGGCAGAACAACUCUAUUCGCCUGUUUCCAGUCAGAGUCCAGAAAACCCUGUUAUCAGUUUGAACAAAUAAACAAGAUCUGGGCCACGGAAGGGGGUCUCAGGGUCAGGCCCAGCAUCUAUGCCUGCUCCUUGACCCAGGAGGUGGUGUCUGCCUACAGGGUGGGAGAAUCUGGAGACCCAGGGAUUACUCUAGAAAUCUCCUUUCAACAGACAAGUCUGCACCUGGGCCCCCAAACAGCUGGGCUUCUAGGAGGAAGUAAGAGUCUGAGAAAGGUCUGUGUGCUGGGGCCCAGAAUAGCAGGUGAAGCCAAGGCCAACCCAGGAGCACCAUGCCAGGUUCUGGGGCAGUCUGUCCCAGAUAUGUCACUUUGAGCCAUUGCUUGGGUCAAGCUUCUGGUCAAACCAAAAGAAAACCAUGGACUGAGCCCUGUCUUUCUGGCACGGUCGACACAGCAUUAUCCUAUCUGAGAUCUACCUCAAAGAAAGAGGACUGUCCGUAUGCACAUGAGGAAAGCAGCCACGUGGACAGAGGCUCUCUGAAUGCACUGGCUAGACCCAUCUCUUCAGCAGACCGCGGAGGAAAAGUCAUGGCGUCGAUUCCACAAAGAUGCACUGGACUCCCAGCUGCGUGGUCUCCCUACUUCUCCGGCUGCAGAGAAGGUGCGCCAGGCUUUGCGGUGACCACACAGCUCUGCAAAUGCACAACACCAUGAAAGCAUUGCCAAGACCCGAGAGUGCCGACACAUGGAUACGGCACAGCGCGAAGCCUGCGGGGCCCCAGAAGCACGAUUUGAAAAUGCUUGGACCAACCUUCUGCAGGACACAUUGAAUGUGAUGCUUCUGUGCAGACCUUCCCCUACUGACAGCAGGAACCAAAGGAGACCAGUAGCAACAACCUCAUCUCUGAAAGUCGACAAGGGCACCACCCAGUGGGAAGAUUGUAACCACAGAAACUGUCUGUAAACGGCUCACUACAAGAUGACCUUGGAGCUCAGCGUUGCCAUUUACUGAGCGACCAUGGCAUUAGUCACGCUGUCCCUCUGCAUCUCUGGCUCCUUGUACCCAGGAUAGGGGUCACAAUCACGCCUUCCCCCUGUGGUGCUGGUGAAGAUACAUGGAGCACAGAGCCUGAUGCCAACGGGAGGCAAACCCACUCUACCCACAAGAGGACCAAGGUUGCUGGUGGAAGAAAGUAGCCAACAGAAUGGGAGCGAGAGAAACGCUGUUUGAAUCCAUACCAACAGUCUGAAAGGUGAUUCUGAGCCGUCAUGCUCCUUUUUUUUCUUUUUCUUUUUUUUUUUUUGUUCUUUUUUUCGGAGCUGGGUACCGAACCCAGGGCCUUGUGCUUCCUAGGCAAGCGCUCUACCACCGAGCUAAAUCCCCAACCCCUGUCAUGCUCCUUCUUGAGAGCCCAGCAACUGGCUGGCACCUGGAGAUGAGGGACUGGACCAUCCGUGGGACUGGUUGGUCUGUUUGUCUGCCUGCCCGUUUGUUUUGACUGCUGGCUGUUUCUGCUUGUUCUUUUAGCCAGAGUAGAAGCUGGAGCCACAGGUCUCCCUUAGCCCAGCCUGAUGUCUGCCUGGUUCCUUCCAGAUGUCAGGACUUCUUGGACAGCCAGGGGUCUCAUGCCCAAAUGUUCUGAAUCAUGGUGGCCAUACACUAGUGUUUGCUCUUAGCUGUCCAGCUGAGCCUGCCCCACGGGUCCUUGGUACACAAGCACAACCCAUGAGGACUGGUCAGGUCUUCAGGAUGGAGCUCUGAGUUCUGUCUUCUUGGCCAGAUGAGAAGGGACCUUAAUACUUGCUGCAUGAAGCUCUACAUUCCUAAACAUGGAGUCUAUUUCUGUCUGUUCAGAUUGCUCCAAAGUGCCUGUGCCCCAUUAGAGAAAUUAGGGGAAGAGUAGGAAUUAGCCAGGUGCAAGCAGAAUUCAGUGGGAACAUCACGCUUUGCAAUUGUGCUCACAGCAGCCCUGCACAGGACUAGCUGGAGUAAAAAGAGAACAGGAUUACCCUGGGUCCAUGAAAGCCCCUCUCUGCUGACAAGCCGGGGAGCCAGCAUUGCCCUACUGGCCACAGGACACUGGAUCCAGGGAUGAGAUACCUUCCUUCCUUCCUGCACCCCAGUGGCUACCCCAGCUAUGGAGAACCGAGAGUAUUGGAGACAGGACGGGGUGAAUGGGCUCUGCAGGAAGGGAGGAAGGACUCUCUCUGAGACCCUGUGGUUUAGUUUUGCUCUGAGUGUGUUCUGCCCUUAGUGGAACUGUCUCUUAGACACAGAAAAGGACCAUGUCUGUGAUGUCUGUGGGGUGGGGUGGAGUGGGGUGGAGUGGAGUGGGGUGGAGGGCUUACUCCCGACUCUGAAGUUGAGAGGACAAAAGUCAAGAGGAACAAGAUGACUAGGGUGCAGUUCAGACGUUCUGUAGUGGAGUGACUGGUUAGCAUGGCUCUGGGUUUGAUCCCUAGCGUAAGGGGAGGAAGGGGAAGAAGGAAAGCCAGUUAAAAUGUAGUAUGUGUUGUGUCCUCUAUGCUCAAAUCUUUGAGAUCUAGCUCAAAGCUAACUUCACUUAGCUGAGAUGAGUUGAAGUCUUCCAUGGAGCCCUUCUCUCUGUGUGUAUCCCUAGAAAGCUGAGGCAGCAGUAAGUCUGAGCUGCCCUGUGAUUCCUUUGAAUAAUGGAGCCUUGGAAGUGUCUGUGGGCUCUACAGGGAGGGCCUGGUUGCGUCAGCUUCCUGCCAUUUGGAUCCCUUAAUCACCAAGGUAGAGGCGUCUGUGAUUCUGCUGGGGUUGGGGGAACACCACACUACCUAUAAGACCCUCUCCUGGAGAGGUAAACUGAGUAGGAGGCAGUGGCUCAGAUCAGUAGCCAUUCAUACCUCAGAUUCAACCAGAUGCCCUGAUGGCGCUGGGAAGCCAGAAGAAUUGGAUCAGGUUCUUGCUGUUAGGAGCCUGAGGACAGGUAGAUCCUAUCCAUUCCCCUAAGUAUCUGCAGUGCUGGGAGGUUGCUCUCAAGGCUGGGGAUAUGUCCAUGAAGAGAAGAAAAGCAACAACCCUGACCUCAAUAAACUACCAUUCUAGUACAAAGAGACAGUGAGUGUCCUGGAGACUAGGUCCAACCUUGUGCAAAAUGUCAGGUGCUUCCGGAAGAGUUUAGCAAGUAGAGUGUGGUGAGAUAGCUCUGGGGUGCUUCUUGGAAGACAGGGUGUUUGAACUAGGAAGGGGGUAGGGUUGGCCUAGAGGACCCCGCUUGCUUCCCCUCUUCCUUUAUGCCUAUGCUGCCCUGUGUCGUGAUCCCAGAGGUCUCCUCUCUCCAUCCAUUUGCAGCUGGAGCCCUGUUUAGUCUGUAGCCUCCUCCAGUGUGUGCUUUCCUUGUCCAGCGCAUUUCGAAUCUCAUGGUCUUUGCUCCCCAUUCCCCAGUAGGAAGAAGGAGAUAGGAGAGAUAUCUGUGGUGAACAAAGACCCCCAGGGUGGAGUGGACUGAGAACAGGUAGAUCCCAUCCAUUCCCCUAAGUAUCUGCAGUGCUGGGAGGUUGCUCUCAAGGCUGGGGAUAUGUCCAUGAUGAGAGGAAAAGCAACAACCCUGACCUCAAUAAACUACCAUUCUAGUACAAAGAGACAGUGAGUGUCCUGGAGGAAGACUAGGUCCAACCUUGUGCAAAAUGGCAGGUGGAGCUCUAACAGUGGAGCUCUGCUAAGAAAGGGUGGGAUGACUUCAGCCGUCUCUGCCCAAAGCCUGCACACUGUCAGCCAAGAAGACUUGACAGAUAAGAGAGAGCAACCAAGUCUCCAGGCACCCAGUUUCCCUUGGCAUGCCCUGCCCUCAUCCUCCCCGACCUCACUGUUACACUGUGGGGGAGGCCCAGAGGGGUGCAGGCAGAAAGGCCAUCUGCCUUGCCAUCUGUUUACCUGUGGGGCUGUCUUUCAACCAGGUGAUGGAAUCAGUCACUUUAUGUGGCCAAUAGGAAUAUUGGACAUCUAUGUAUGUGUUAAAGGAGGGCUGGAGAGGUGACGACUCAGUAGUUAAGAGAGCUUCAGAGGACUCAGAUUCAGUUCCUGGCGUCCACAUUGUGUUGUUCAGCACCUCCUGUAAUUCCAGUUCCUGGGAACCCAAGGCCCUCUUCUGCUCUCCUCCAGUACCUGCACACACAUAGUGCAUAUGCACUCACAGGCAUGCGGACAUGCAGGUAAAAUAGAAAAGAAAGGAAAGGCAUAAAUGAUAAUUCAGGGCUGGGGUUGGCUGGCUCAGUUGAUAGAGUGCUUGCCUAGCAUACGUGAAGCCCCAAGCUCCAUUCCAGUACUGCAUAAACUAGUCAUGGUGGUGCAGGCCUGUGAUCCCAGCACACGGGGUGGAGGAGGGAGGGUCAAAACCACAAAGUCAUUCUCAGCCACACAGGAGUACACAAGACCCUGUUUCAAAAUGGGGAGAAAGGAGACUGGAAAGAUGGUUCAGCCGUUAAGCGUAUGUACUGAUCACGCCGAGGACGUGAGUCUGCGUCUCAGCACCACCUGUGUCACUGCAGCUUUAGGGGAAUGUGACAGCCUCUUCUGGCCUCUGGGGACACUACACUCAUGUACUCCCGCACACAUGUAAACAUAGUUUAAUUUUUUUUUAAGAUUUAUUCAUUUAUUUAUAUAAGUACACUGUAGCUGUCUUCAGACACACCAGAAGAGGGCAUCGGAUCUCUUUACAGAUGGUUGUGAGCCACCAUGUGGUUGCUGGGAAUUGAACUCAUGACCUCUGGAAGAGCAGUCAGUGCUCUUAACCACUGAGCCAUCUCUCCAGCCCAGUUUAAUUUUUUUUAAAUGGGAACUAGAGAGACGGCUCAGAGGUUAAGAGCACUUGCUGCUCCUGAAGAGGUGCGGGGCUCCCAGCAUCACAUGGUGACUCAGAACCAUGUGUGGCUCCAGUUCUAGAAGACCAAACACCGUCUCCUGACAUCAUGGGCAUCAGGUGUGCGUACACACGUAUACACACACACACACACACACACACACACACACACACACACACCACAUAUAAACACAGGAAAAAGCACUCAUAUAGAUCAAAUAAAUAAAUCCAAAACACAAUUUUUUAAAUAAAAUCUUUUUAAGAAAGGAAGAAAGAAAAGUCUAAUUCAAAUCCAGGAGUUUGGGACACUGUUUCCCCAGGCUUCACUCAAGCUCAAGGGGCUCUAGAGGCAUCCUCUUCCCAAGACUGGUUUGUACCCAGUACUGGCCCCCUGCAAGGCUAGGCUCUCCAUCUGUAAAUGGAGAAGCAGCAGGAGGACGCAGAACCACAGACCUCAAACAGCCAGAGCUUUAGCAAAUGAGGAUUUGUGCUAAACCUCCUCCCACCACAGAGAGCAGCGCCGGGGAAGAGCGGAGUCUCCACUCGGAGCAGAAGCCCUAGCAGCCUCCUCCACAGGCAGAGAAGGCUCAGGGCCCUUGGAAAAAGGGAGAGGCAGACAGGGAGGCAGACAGGGAGCCAGCAAAUGUCUCCUUCAGGCUGUGAGCAUCAGGACCCAGGUGUCAACAGCCAGACAAGGCCAGGCUUCAGCCACUAUCCUCCCAGUUGGUUACCAGUCCCCACAGCUGUGCUCAAGGACUGGAGGGGAAACCAGGGUGAUAACCACUUCUCUUUCAUCUUCUCUCUUGAGGAAAACAACUUUCAAUUCCCCGUGCCGUGCAUUCCUUCAUUGUGAAGUCGUCCCUAACCCAUCUCCCCUAGUCCCUCAGAAAGAAAAGAGGGGGGAGUGCUUGGCUGCUGCUUCAGUGAAGCUUCUAAAAAAGUCCCUGCUGAUGGCUGCAGUCGGAGAACAUGAGGGGGCAGAAGAGAGCUGACGUAAUCUACAUUUAUUAGCAGUGAGGAAAAUUAAUAAGGCGUUCCAGAGCAAGGCCCACUCUGUAGACCUGGGAAGCCCCAGGGACAGCUGGAGAGCUGGUGGUCUCCACCCCGGCUGAGUCUUCAAAAUACCUAAUCAGUCUCGAUCCUAGAUCACCACAGCUGGAGAGAGAAGCUCGACACCAUCUACUGCCCCAAGGGCAAAUGCUUUUUAUCACACAUGCCAAAUCUAAUUGAUUGGUAGGGGUGGCCUGAAGUUUGGUAUUGAAAAGGUUUCUGGGUCCCUUGGGGUAGAGGGUCUGAAAUUGAUUAGCAAACGUCUGCCUUGGGUAAAAGCUGAGGAUUCACGCCAUGUGUUGGCCUUGUCUGCUGUAAUCUGACCAUCCCACUUUAUUGAUGGGGAGACUGAGUCCCAAAGCUCGUUGACAGGUUUCCCCCCAUGCCCAGUCUUCUCAGGAAGCUAGCUGCUUUGGAUAAGUGGUACCCUAUCCUAAUUUCAGGACCGCGGGUGUCAGGUCCAAGGACUGUCCCCAAGAAAAAAGACAACCACUGGCUUGGGUUAGCAAGGGCAGUUGCCUAUUUCCUGAAAACAAUUAGUCGAUCCAUUUAUCGUACUGAACUGGCAAGUUGGCUUCACAAAUGCAGGUGAUGGGCAGGCCUUCGCUGUCGACCUGAGACUAGUGGUCACUUCAGUCAGAACAGGAUCUGUGGGUGAGGUUAACUAAAUAUUUAGCCCAGGACAAUAAAAUCCCCAAGUAGUUGGUGAUGUUGUCCAAAUGGGAAACCAUUGUCCAGCGUAUUAGGGCUGAGCUGGCCUAGCUGCUCUACCCAUGACCCCACUUCGUUUGUCCCAUCCCCUCAUGCCCUGCCAGCUCAGCUCAUUUCCCUCUCUCUCCAGCCUUGCUUCUCUUGGCUGAGAGACCUUCUGUGGUAUGCUGGGUACUUGAGACAAGUCUCCCCGGCCCCACCACACCUGCUGAUCAGUUCCACUACCCAAAGUCUGCCACAGUGCAGACUGGAGACUUCCCACUUUUAAAAAACAGGGACCCUGAGGCCUGAGAGGGGAAAGGGCUCACUUGAUGUCACAUGGGGGUGACAGAUCCAGGGCCCUCAUCCUGACUCCAGGGGUAAGUACCUCCUAGAGAGUAUGAACUCCACUUUCGUUUACUCCUCAGAACAGAACAAAUAAGGAAGCCUAGGGAAGGGGUCCUGAGAAAGGUCUGGGUGGACAAGAACUUGGCACAUGAAGGCUAGGAUGUGAGGUGUGGUGCUGGAAGGUAGCCAGGCGACAGGAAAGAACCUAUGAGAUUGAAAAUGCAGGAGGAGUGCCCAGAAGUCCAGUCACUAUCUCUCAGCUCCAGACACCUUAUCCCAGGACUCUAGGGAGUGCAGCCACCGCCUUCGGUCCUCAUGGUCCUCAUCCGAGCUGAGGUGCUAGAGGAGGAAGUAGCUCCUGCCUAAGAGACAAAAGGACACUCAGUGCUGCAAAGAACACUCAGGCUACGGGAGAGCCCUGAGUCGGCCCUGGCUCACCAUUUACAACCUAGCCAAUGGGCCAAGUUUCCAGACCUCUCUGGGCCUCUGCUUCCUCCUCUGCCAAGUCAGUACUGAAAGAUUACUGAGCAUCACAAGGUUGCCGUGAGAAUUAGGAUCAGAGCUGGGGACGCAGCUCAGUCGGUAGCUGGCACGCAUAAAGCCUUGAGCUCAGACACAGCACUAUACACACCAGGUAUGGUGGUGCAGUACUGCAAUCCCAGCACUGAGGAGUGGAGGCAGGAGGAUUAGUUUAGAGCCAUCCUCAGCUACAUAGGGAGUUUGGGGUACAGGAUACCUGGUGUCACAACAGGACAGGAGAGAAGGAGUAAGGAGAUUAUUCAUGGGAAAGGCUUGGCACCCGGUAACCACUAGCAGGAGACCAAGAGUCUUUCCUUACAAUGCAAUCCUUCCUGGCCUUUCCUCCCACACCUCCUCCAGAAAGCCCCACCCUCCACCCCAUCCCCAACACCUGAGUCCAUCCAUACACCCUGCUGUAGGGGGCCUUCCAAGAAAAGUUGCCUGUGCUCUGAACUGGGAGCCUUCUCUCUCAGUCACCGGGUUCCCCCCUCCCUCCCACCAGUGUGUCCCACCAGUCAAGGACUCAAUGGGUACAGAACAAAGUGGCUAACAGGAUCUUGCCCUUCAGCCGGCUCCACCCAUUUUACCCACCCCCUUUCUGGUUUUCCAGCCCCGCCCCCUGUCUACUUUGUUCCUAGUGCUUCUGUCUCCACGUCUCUGGGGCUCUGUUUGCAUGAAGAGGAAAAAAAGUCUUCAUGCACACACACAGCCCAGAAAGCAUCCAGUUGCUCCCGGGCCGCCUGCCAGCAAUUGAGUGACCUGCAGCUUCCUCCCCAAAUCACAUUCCACUGGCACGGAUCUUGCCCCGCCUGACGCCAGCCUCCGAACUCGCCCCCAGAGCAAACAUUUCCAGUUGGCAGCCUGGCCUUGUUUUUCUGAGGCCCUAAUUCAGUCUCCCUUGUAGAAAACAGAAAACAAAAUGUGUGGGACCAAAAACUGCAACAAAAUAAACUUUUAGAACGAGGGGGCUGCAGGGUGAGGGCUUUGCUCCAAGGCACACAGAAAAAUAUAAGCUUCAGGGGGUGCAAAGAGUUUAAAGAAGCAAACCCACAUGCCGCCCGACACCCCACCUCUCAUGAUGGCUUGGAGGCUGAGACCAAUUCAUUCAGGCUGCUGCUAAAGACGACUCUGUUCUCAUUCAUAGCCGAGCUGGGAGGACAGGACAGAAAGAUGAGGGGAGACUGGAGACUGUGAGGAUAGGGUAGUCGGGCUUCAACACUGGUGUUUGUUCCAAAGGGGAAAUUACAGGAAGAAAAAUAAACACGACCAGCCAGAAUUGAAGGCCAGGGCGUGCAGCAUAGGGGCGCUGCAGGGACAGGGUGUGUGUGUGUGUGUGUGUGUGUGUGUGUGUGUGUGUGUGUGUGUACACGCCCGAGCGCGUGUGCUAGCGUGUGUACAUGCCUGUGGGCGCCGCUGGGUUUGCCGUCUCAAAAUAAGGUCUGCUUAGUGGAAAGAUGUCAUAAGCCAGUCUUGGGGAGCCAUGGGAUGGGCCAGCCAGGGAGGGCCGAGCCUGGCGCCCAGGCCUGUUCAUGAGGUCAGGCAAAGGCCAGGUGUCAGAGCAAGGGAGUGCCGCCAAGGCCAGGGCUGUGGGGACAGGAUUCUGAAGGUCAGUCUCCAUGGGGGUCCUUCUGGGGAAGAGAUGGGUUCACAGCUUCACUGAUGGACUUGGUCUGGGGACAUUGUGCUUAGAUCAGUUUAGGGUAUGUCCUUGGAGCUAAAAGGCAGGGUGUAGGAUAAAUGGGGAGGUGCACGGACAGAAAGGAGAGAGGAGGUCAGCAGGCUGCAGAAUGAGGACAGACAGACUCAGAUGCCACCAACACACAGAUGAGCAGAACAAUCAUGGCCAGGAACUGGAGUGCUGGAGCAGCUUAGACACUCAGGUGGGGGUUGCCUCCCCUCCACUCAAGCCAGAAAGCUUGCCCAACAGGGAUCAGGGGCACAAGAGAAGCUGCUGAGUCCAGAUUGCUGGAAAACUGUAAGGGAGGGCUGGAGUAAACACUCUCGGGGCCCCAGGUAGCCUCUUCGACUUCACUAUGGUGUAAGCUCCCCACACAGAGCGGACCCUGGCACCUGAGAAAUAGCAAGAUGAGUGAGGUCUCGGGGUGAGGGGCUUGACAGACAGGGUUUCUGGAACAAAUUCACUCACAGAAAAUGAGAGAAAAGCCAGAGGGAGACCAUGAUGCAGCCACCUCGGGUGUCAUCAAAUGUGUAUCCCUGCACUCAUUCAGCCUGAUGGAACUUUAUCCGACUGGCUCCUGAGGAGGCAAGCCUCAGGCGGCUGACCUGGACUGUCUCUCUGUCCAAGGUAAGGAACCCUCCCGUAGAAGAGGUGACAAGUUCUUUGGACCUUGGCCCUUCUCCAACUGUCCUGAGGACUUGACACUCUCCCUCUCACAAUCUUCAAGCAAAGUAGUUUGCAAACUUGUCCAAAGGAUAUUUUUACCCAAAUUCAAGACAUGUCUUAUGCUAAAGAAAUGAGUUACUACUGACCCAGAGAAACCAGACGGGGUAACCCUGGAAAGUUGGUAAGAUAGUUUUCAAGUUCACCGUAUUGUUGGGAGCCCCUAAGGACUGUGUUUGUAAAAUGUCCCCUUCCAGUUAAUUUGUCAGGUCUUAGCAUGACAUGUCUCUAUAAACAGCCUCUAACACUUCUGAAAACAUGUUGUAUAUGUGUACACACAUGCAUGUGAGCGUGUGGAAGUGGGAAGUCAGUGCUGGCCUCUCUCUUGGUCUGUCUCUCUCCAGCCUAAUUUUUUGAGACAAUUGUCUCUCAGAAAUGGAGCUCACUGAUUUAGCUCCGCUAUCUGGUCAGCCAGUCCCAGAGAAGUACUGGUGUCUGCAUCCCCGUGAGCCAUAGGAACUGUUCUUUUGUUAUUACCCCUGCCUUAUUUCUGAGGAUUUGAACUCAGGUCUUCAUGUUUGUGCAGCAACUGUGUUACCAACUGAGCCAUCCCCCCAGCUCCCUAAUUCCUCUGUAUUAGUAUUUUGAACUCAAGGAUUUUCAAAUGCAAAUAGUUCUGAUUAACCAGCCCAACCUCCUCCAGGUUGGCGCCUGAGCCCUGCCAUGGCCCUAGUGGUAGGUGAUAACCUUUCUUGCUUUCUAGUGCAUGAUGGUGUGGACUUAUCUUAUACACUGACCUGGAAAUAGGCGAUUCUCUAGGAAGUGUAUUUCUUCCUGUGGGAGAGGAUACUUAGAGACCACAAUUGGGGCACUACAAAUACUCUGUGUGUGUUUUCUCUGCUUCUUGGUUUUCUCUAAGAAGAACUUGCAAGAUUCAGGGCAUCAUACAGCUAAGUAGGACUCUCCCAGACCUGAGGCUGCCUCAGCCCUGAGAGGUAAGCUUUGCCUGGUUGAAAGCACUUUCUCCCUUCUCCCAUUCCUACACACUAACCUCAACCUCUGGGAAUGGGUAAGACUGCCAUGUGCCACCUCUUAGGGUACGUACUGUAAUGUGAGAGGAGAGGACCAGUCACUAAAUUAUAAAUCCCAGGAGUUGAGCUUCUAAGUCAAAGUUCUUCCACCAAAAUAUGGCGGUAUUCUUAAUAUUACAUUUUUAUUAUAAAAUAUUAUUGUAUGUGCAUUAUUGUUUGCCUGCGUGUAUGUGUGUGCACAUUCCUGGCGCUCGUCGGAAGAAGGCCUCAGAUCCUUCUGGGACUGGAGUAAUAGGGAGUUGCAAGUUGCCGUGUGGUACUGGUAAUCAAACCCAGGCCCUCUGUGGUCAGUGGUCUUACACUGAACCAUCUCCUCAGCCCUGGAUUGUGUGUAUGUGUGUGCAUACGCAGGAGCGUGUGUGUGUGUGUGUGUGUGUGUGUGUGUGUGUGUGUGUCCACCUGUACCAGAGCAUGCUUCUGGGGCUCAGAGGAUAGUUACUGGAGUUAGUUCUCUCCUUCCAACAUACGGGUCCUGAGAAUCAAACUCAGAUCAUCAAGCAAGGCAGGAAGUGCUUUUUACCUGGUGAGCCAUCAUCUCACAGGCCCAGGGUGUUUUAAAUGAAGUAUGUCAGGCAAACCUCUAGGCAAACAGAAAGCACUAGGAAAUGGUGCAGAUCCAUGCUGUGCCUGUCUGGAGACUUCUUUGUGCAUGCAAAGUUUCUGGCAGUCAUCCUCCAAAUCCCGUCUUUGUGAUACCUUUUUUUUUUUUUUUUUUUGAUAUCCUUGAUACCCGCUUUGUUAUAAAACAGAGUCAGGGCGAUGUGUGGUAACGAUGUCUGUAAUCCCAGCACAGUAGCUAAGGCAGAAGGGCUGUGAGUUCCCCAGACCUCUGUGCAGUCUCUGUCCCCCCUUCUCUUUCUCGGCCUGUAGUCAUCUGCAUCCUCACUUUCCCCUGAACUCUAGGAUAGUUUGGUCUCUUCCUUUGUCUCUGCCCUCAGUUUCUGCUCCCAUGGCACUUUUGCUUCCUCCACACUGUCCUGUGGGGAAGCUCUGCUGUGCAGCCCCGCCUCUGACAGCCUCGUUCUUCAGGGCGCCUUCCUUUAGAGAGGCGAAGGGUGACCCUGGGCUCUUGCUAAGGGUGACCCUGGGGUCUUCCUUCAUGCCACAUGGAGAAUCCAGCACCCAGCCGAGCCGUCUUUCUGUGCUAAGUAUGGAUUCCAAAAGAGCUCGGUGGUAAGGGUAUUACAUGAUACAAAACUUAGCACCUGGUCCAGGACGUGGCCAAGCAUGGCACCCGGAGGAUGCAGGACUUAGCUAGCAUCCCCUAGACCACCCCAUCCCGCCCCACAGCAACAGAGAUGGUAGGGAUACGGGAUGCACUUGGUGAAGCAUUAGAUCAUGUUAACCUCUCAUUCCUAAGAUGCUAAACAUCUGGCCGAAACAAGAGCAGUGUAACCAAACAUCUGGAUACUCGCUCUGCACAGCAUGGAACAACUGCGCGCUUGGCAGCGUCCGCGUGAGUAACUGACAUCCGUGCUUCCCUUUGCCUUGUGACCGAAAACCAGGCCCAGACUGGUUUAAACUUUAAAAGGGAAAUGCUUAGCUUACUGGGCUGAGCAGCAACAGGACGAGGUCGGCUCUGGGUGGGUGCUAAUCUAGCAGUGGAACGGAGCCCCGUGGACUCAUCUCUGUGUUUCUGUUUUCUGCUCUCACCUUUCCCUUCCCCCACCCCUCGCCUCAGACAAGGCCCCCUGGGUGGUCCCACAAGGGCCACCAGAAGCCUGUUCAUGUCAGGAGAGUGGGAUCACAAUUAUCUCUGCAAAAGCCUCAAAUCUACUCUGACUGGACAGGACUGGGCCGCACAUUCCCAAUCUCUGUUAUCCGAGGGUAGUGGCUGGCUGAGCUGUUCUGUUCCCCUUGUGAAAACAGCAUCUUCAGAUUUACAGAAUCAAGAUGGAGGGUCACAGGGAAAGGCACAGCUCCUGCCAGACACAGGGGUGGGACUAAGACGAGGCAUGUGAGGGACAGAGGGCACUUUUAAAGACAUCUUUACCCAUUUGAGGCCGUGAGCUGGCUCUGCCUUUAUUGUUUUUAAAUUUUAAUUUUUUAUUUGGUUAUUUAAUUAGUUUGUGGCCAGGCAUGUGGCACAGUACCUGUGUAGCGAUCAGAUGACAAUUCUCAAGUGUUGGUUCUCUCUGUCCACACAUGGGGCUUGGGGAUUGAACUCGGGUCAACUGGCUUGGUAAGUGCUUUUACCCACUAGGGCGUCUCACAGGCCUGACCCCGGCUACAAUCCUGAGGGUGUGCCUCCUGCUGCACACCCCAUAUGUGCCGUUUGCUUCCCUCCUCGUCAACCCUGACUACUCAGCCGACUACAGGAGACUUGUUCACUUGAACAAGAAGCAUUGGUUGUGUGGAGGUUUCUGCAGGCCAAGGAUCUGGGAGUGCUUUAGCUGGGGCAACUGGCUUGGGGUCUGUCAUGAAGUCCAGAUGUCAGCGGGAAAAUCUAUUUCCAAAAUGGCCACUGGCGGGCAGUCCCAAAGAGCUACUGAUACAAUGUGCCUCACGGCAUUGUAGAUGGCUCCCCCAGAGCAAAUGGUAUGGAUGAAAAAGACAUAAGUCAUGUUGCCUUUUAUGCCUCUCAAAGGUCACACCAACCACUCUGCUGCUGUCAGUUAGGAAUGAGUCACUAAAGCCGAGUGUAAUCUACCUCCCGAAAGAAACACCAAGGAGUCUGUAGACCUCAGGGUACCACGAGAGGAAAUUACAAGAUGGGUGACUCCCCAUAGGUGCCCUGAGGACUUGGUAGUACAUACAUGUAAUCCUAGCGCCUGGGAAACAGAAUGAUUGCAAGUUCAAAGCCAGACUGGGCUAUACAGGAAGACCCUGCUCCAGAAAGGGGGAGCGGUGCUGGGACUGAGGCUGCAGCUUGUUAAGUUGUAGAGUACAUGUCCAGCAUAUGAAAGGUUCUGUCUACUUCCUAGCACUGUAAAAACAAAUAACACUCUCAAAUACUGGAAUUAUGGCUUCUUUUACUUUUACUGUCAAAGGCCUAGAUAACACAUCUUCAGUCUUUUUUUUUUUUUUUGAGAUUUAUUUAUUUCUAUUUUAAGUAUAUGGGUGUUUUGCCUGCAUAUAUAUGUCUGUACAGAAGAUGACUCCAGACCCCUUGCAUUAGAAUUAUAAACAGUUGUGAUCCACCAUGUGGAUGUUGGGAAUUGAACCCCAGUCCUGUGGAAGAGCAGUCAGCAUUCUUAACCACCAAGGCACACAUUCCCAGUCCCACAUUUUCAUCUCAUGGGCCAACUAUUUGAGUGGUACUGACCGAGAAAAUGCAGCAGUUGAUUAUUAAUGUCUGUCUUCAACCAAACCAACAGCCAUUGUUCCCUAGUUCUUUGAUAACAGAAUCUGUCCUUGCUCAUGAUCCAACCUUAAUGUGCUCAGAGAAAGUGUGUCCUAAAUGAUGCUUUAUGACCCAACUAAACCUUCCACAACACGGGAGAGGGUAGGCCCAUUCAUUCUUAACCUGUGGUGACUUAGGGACGAAGCUGCAUCUAAACUAGCCAAUAUAAGAGAGUCCUGGUGGAAAUGUUCUGGGAAAGGAAUGCCCUCCAGAUAAAAUAAAACUAGUGAGAAUACUUCCUUUGAGAGUAAUUUGAGGCAGGCAUGGCAGCAUACACAGGUAAUGGCAUUCAAGGGAGAAGCAGGAGUCUUCUGCCUAAAAACAUAAGGAAAGCUAGAAGUUGGCUUAGUCAGUAAACUUUGCCAUCCAUACAUGAGGACCUGAGUUCAGUCCUCCUAAGAUCUAAGAGUGGUGGUGUGUGCCUGUAGUCUUGGCAUUGAACUGCAAGGGACAGAGGGGCUGGCUGGCCAGCCAAGCUAGCUUAAUUUACAAGUUCUAGAUGUGAUGAGAAGCCUAUCUCAAAGAAUUAGGGGGGGAGACUGGAGACAUCUCUGGCCUAGCAGUUAAAGGUGCUUGCUGCUCUAGAGGACCUGUGUUCAAUUCCUAGCUCCCACAUGACAGCCCACAACCAUUUGUAACUCACAGUCCUGGUCAUCCGGACCCUCUGAGGGAAACAGGCACACAUGUGGUACACAGACACACAUGUAGGCAAAACACUCAUACACAUAAUAAAGUUGAAACAAAGUAAAACUUAAAAAAUAAAGUAGAGAGUCGUUGAGUAAUCCUGUAGCCGAGCUUUUCUGUGCACCAGCACACACUUGUGCACCCAUGCACGGGAACACAUACAUACACACACGCAGACACUCACAUUUGAAGCUAAAGGUCUGGUGACAUGCUUUAUCGGGCAAAAGGGCUUGCUGUGCAAGAUUAGCAGCCUGAGUUUAAUCCCUGGGUUCCACGAUGUGUAUCCACAAUGACAGAAGAGAAUCAACUCCCAAAGGUUAUCUCUCCCCCCAACACACACAGGGGCCACUGCAUUACCCCACCGCAUGCACUUACUGAUAAGUAAAAUAAAAAUUAAAAAGAAGAAAAGGAAGGAAAUAAAAGCAGCUUUGGAAGGGCGGCAUUCCUGGUGGUCUGACUUCCACCUUACAUCCAAAGGAAACACUGAGAUUCCUGGGGGGUGGAACAGGAGCCCACGCACCGAGGAGACAGUGGGGCAGCCAGUCCUGGUUCUCAUUCUUAGGACUUGUUUCUUUGAGAGAAAGCAGACGCUCCCGUUGAAUAUUCUGAUUGGGUUUUCUAUAAUAUGAAGCCAACUGCAGUCAAAUUGCUACAUGAAACAGUCCUGUAUGGUGCACGCACCUUCCCUACCUCCA